UGAGGGGAGAUAGAAGGCUAUGGAGCGUGGUAAAUGUUACACUCCAUCACGGACCAUGGGGAGGUCAGUGUGAAGAUUUCGACUGUUUCCAUGACAACAGGCGGCCCUGCCAGUUAAAGCUGCCAGCAGCUGGGAGCCCUCCAGCAGACACCCCAAGCAAAAUGUUAUUCCAGCUUGUUAGCGUUUGAUGUCGGGGUGCGGCGCACUGCAGAAGCUGCCGACGUGUGGUUUCUGGUCCGCAAGCUCUUUGCGCUCCCUCAAAUAUACGUCGUCUCACUUUCCCAGCCAGGAUAUAUCACUGCCAUUCAAGCAACGACUGUCACGCUAAGAUAACGGCAGCAGGCUGCGAGAGGCCUGCUCUGGAGACACAACUUCCUUUACACUGCGGCCUCAAGAACUGGAAUCUGCUUCCUUAACCUCGUUACGUUCUGUUAAACUCACGGCUUCCACACAUGCCGCAUCGCAGCUUGAUACCAACGCGGGCCUCUCCGACUCGCAAUCUGGCCCGCAGAAACACGGAGUCCUGAGAAUGGCCAGACCGUGUGUGACAUGCCACAUGAGCAUGCACGUGAACUAGCGUUAGCGCCGUGAGCGUCUAAGGUUAAUAUAUAAUAAAUGCAGUUAAUUCAGUAGAUGACGGCACCAUAGACAAACGCAACAGAAGAAGUUCCAGAAGACCUAUUAAUAAUGUAGUUCCUGGG